rnacentral:rRNA from 1 species
AACGAACGCUGGCGGCAUGCCUAACACAUGCAAGUCGAACGAAAUCUUCCGGUCUAGUGGCGCACGGGUGCGUAACGCGUGGGAAUCUGCCCUUUGGUUCGGAAUAACAGUUGGAAACGACUGCUAAUACCGGAUGAUGACGAAAGUCCAAAGAUUUAUCGCCAGAGGAUGAGCCCGCGUAAGAUUAGCUAGUUGGUGUGGUAAAGGCGCACCAAGGCGACAAUCCUUAGCUGGUCUGAGAGGAUGAUCAGCCACACUGGGACUGAGACACGGCCCAGACUCCUACGGGAGGCAGCAGUGGGGAAUAUUGGACAAUGGGCGAAAGCCUGAUCCAGCAAUGCCGCGUGAGUGAUGAAGGCCUUAGGGUUGUAAAGCUCUUUUACCCGGGAUGAUAAUGACAGUACCGGGAGAAUAAGCUCCGGCUAACUCCGUGCCAGCAGCCGCGGUAAUACGGAGGGAGCUAGCGUUGUUCGGAAUUACUGGGCGUAAAGCGCACGUACGCGGCUUUGUAAGUUAGAGGUGAAAGCCUGGAGCUCAGCUCCAGAACUGCCUUUAAGACUGCAUCGCUUGAAUCC